rnacentral:sRNA from 1 species
UUUGGCAUCAUUCGGAGGCUUAUGAGGCUUUAAAUAGGCAACCAUCAUAAAAAGAUGAAUGAGCAACAGGAAUGAUAAUGCAUGUAGCGUGCCAA